ACCGCAUUGUUCCACCUUGCUGUCCUCCCAAAGUCCCAGUCCCGUAUCCCCAUCUGGCGGCGGUCGCCGGAGCUGGGCAGGGCCGGUAGCAGGCAUGGAGGCUGCGGUGGCGAGCGCCCUGACCAAGGAGGUGGUGCUGAAGCUGGUCACGCUGCUGAGUGAGAAGCACAAGCUGUCCAAGGGCCUCAAGGGCGACCUCCGCUUCAUCCACACCGAGCUCGACAUGAUCCUCUGCGACAUGGACGAGCACCUUGGAGAUCCGAGCCACAGCUCACGGCGGCCGCAGGUGGUGUCCAUGGAGGAGAUGCGCGAUCUGGCGCACGACAUUGAGGAUUGCAUCGACCGGUUCCUCCCCUGCGCCGCCUGCGAGGGGGAAGCAGCCUCCGUCCUCCGCCGCGUCAAGAAGGCGGUCACCGGCAACAGAUCCCGAUUCGCGGCGGAGAUCCGGAAGCUCCGGCAGAGGGUCAAGGACGCGCACGAGCGACGGGUCAACUAUGGCGUCAACGGCGUGAGAUCUGCCGCCGGAGCUGGAGCAGCAGCUCCCCCUGCGGUCGCAGACGCGGCCGAGGCCGACCCUGUGGGUAUCGACAGGCCCAGGCAGGAGCUGGUCGAGCUGCUGCUGGGCAGCGAGCCGGGGCCUCCCGGCGUGAUAUCCAUCGUGGGGUUCGGCGGCUCGGGGAAGACGACGCUGGCCAGGGCGGUAUACUGCUGCCCCGGUGUGGUCCAGAGAUUCCCUGCCCGUGCCUGGGCCGCGGGGUCCGAGCACACCUACGCCGGCGGGCUCCUGACGGCGAUACUCCGGCAGCUCCGCCGCACCGUCGAUGUGCCGCAGGACCAAGAUUCCAUCAAUAAUUUCCUGCGGACUACAGAGUGCUUAAUUGUAAUCGAUGACGUCAACAAGCAACACUGGGAUGCCGUAAGAGCCACCUUCCACAGGGAAACAAAGAGCAGAAUCAUCGUAACCACGGCUCUUCACUCUGUAGCUAAUGCUUGCAGCUCAGGAUGUUCACCUGAACUGGAGCGGGGCUCGACAGCAAUUGUGGACAAGUGCGAUGGCCACCCACUUGCUCUUGUUAGUGUGGCCAGAUUUCUGCUAGGCAAGAAUGAGCUCACAGGAAGACACUGCACGCAAGUUUGCCGCAACCUCGGGCUUCAUAUGGAGGAGGCUGCAGACUUCACAAAACUGCAACAGCUUCUUGUAAAUAACUACAGAAGCCUGUCUGACUAUCCUCUCAAGACCUCCCUGCUAUACACGAGUGUGUUCCCAAACGGCCGUCCAAUCAGGAAGGAUACUUUGAUCAGGCGAUGGUUAGCAGAAGGGUAUGUGCAAUGCAGGUACAAGCGCAGUGACCUGGAGGUGGCAGAUGAAAACUUCCGGAAACUUGUCGACCGGAAUAUCAUUCGGCCGAUCGAUGGUAGCAACAACACAAAAGUGAAGACGUGCAAAACUCAUGGUAUUAUGCAUGAGUUCAUGCUGCACAAGUCCAUGUCUGAUAACUUCAUCACGUCUCUUCAUGAUCAAAAUCGGAGCAAAUUCCGUCACCUCUUCAUCCAGAACCCUGAAGGUGGCAGCACCUUGGGCCUGAACCACCAGCAUACAAGUCCGGCAAGUGACAACAUCUCUGGUAGCAGUGAAAAAUUCCGUGCCCGGUCUCUGACAAUAUUUGGGAAUGUGGGAGAAGCUGCUUCUGAGUUUUGCAGGUGCGAGCUGCUGCGGGUGUUGGAUCUGGAAGAAUGCGACGAUUUGGAGGACGGGCAUCUCAAGGACAUACAUAAGCUGUGGCAUCUGAAAUAUCUGAGCCUUGGGGGUGCUAUCAGCAACCUUCCAAGGAAUAUUGAGAAGUUACACUGUUUGGAGACACUGGACCUUAGGAAGACAAAGAUAGAGAUACUGCCUGCAGAAAUCAUUGGGUUGCCUCACCUAGCUCACCUGUUUGGAAAGUUUAAGCUUGGAAAGGACUUGAAAGUGGGUGAACUGGAGAAGAAGUCCUUACCCAAGAAAUGUAAGCUGCAGACCCUUGCAGGAUUUGUCGCAGACGAGAACCCUGGAUUUCUGCAACUCAUGUCUCAUAUGAAAAAACUGAAGAAGGUUAAGAUAUGGUGUUGUGAGUCCACUGAUGAAAACAAUGAGAGCAUGCCACACAUUUCGGAGGCAGUUCAGAAGUUUGCUCAGGAUGGUAUGGACACGGCAGACGUCCGUUCUCUGACGCUUGAUUUUGGAAAUUCCUCUGGGGGCUUCCUGGGAUCUAUACAAGAAUAUUGUUAUCUCAGCUCGCUGAAACUGCGUGGCAGGCUGACUCAACUGCCUCAGUUUGUUACAUCCCUGUGUGGCCUUACGGAGCUGUGCCUUUCAUCAACUAAUCUCGUGGGGAAUGAUCUAUCAAACCUGUGUAUGAUGCCCUGCCUGCUUUAUCUCAAACUGGUUGAAGCUGACCUUACUGGCUUCAUCAUAAAAGAUAGGGGUUUCCCAAGCCUGUUAAGCUUAUGCCUUAUUAUGCAAAUGCCCGUGCUCCCUACAAUCGGAGCAGGUGCUCUGCCGCGUCUUGUCUCGCUUCAGCUGCUGUGUAAAGAUCUUGUUGGUCUUUCAGGCAUCAAGAUCGAACAGCAUCACUGUCUGCAGGAAGUUGCUCUGGAUUCUAUGGUCAGUGCAAAAACAGUAGACAUGUGGGAAACUGCAGCGAAGAAGCAUCCCAGGAGACCAAAAGUUCUGUUUCUCAAAAGGAUUGGUCCAAGCGAAACUAAGUCCACCGUGAAAUAUGUGGCGGCAGACGAACCAAUACGUGAUAAGGCGUCCUCCGUCGAGUUCAAUCAAGUUCAGUUAACGCAGAAUAUGUUGCAGGACGAAUGCAUGAUCAGUUUAGAUCAAUCCAGUUCAAUGAGCAAACUCAAUUCAGCUAUGAAGAAAAUAAUAGUUUCAGACCCCCCUCCGGAUACACCCGAGCUGUCCAGUUCUGGGAACAGUGUGAUGCCUCCUUCUGCAAGCAUAUGCUAAAGCACCAUUGCUGGAGUUUAGGAACUUGGCCACGGGUUCCAACCUCAUCCAGUGUACAGAAACUCAUUUUUUUCUCUAUGUAUGCGUGAACGGGGACGCGAAGGUUUUGCGUUCUCUCUGUUGUUGGAGUUGGCCAUUUAUUUAGCAGGAGGCGGCAAGACAAGUCGCCCUUUCCGUUUCGACUUUCGAGCAGGGCCUGUGUUAGGGAGUAAAAUGAGCAGUUUUUUUUUUUAGCUGAAAGUGAGCAGGGACUUGUGUCGUCGGAAUUGUUAGUUGUAACAUAUCUUGGUGUAUCAUGUCAUGUUGUAGCAUAUUUGGAGUACUCAGUGUGUGUACAGAUAUGUACUUAAUUAUCUGUAAUGUUACAUGAACUGGAUUUUAUCACUGGCUAUUUGCGAUAGCCUCGGUAGUGAUCGAUGGUUGCCACGAGAUAGUUCCUAAACAAGUGGAAGCAUGCAUGUUGAGAUAAUUAGAGAUAGUAGGAGA
rnacentral:rRNA from 1 species